rnacentral:rRNA from 1 species
CGGUAACAGGAGAAAGCUUGCUUUCUUGCUGACGAGCGGCGGACGGGUGAGUAAUGUAUGGGGAUCUGCCCGAUAGAGGGGGAUAACUACUGGAAACGGUGGCUAAUACCGCAUAAUGUCUACGGACCAAAGCAGGGGCUCUUCGGACCUUGCACUAUCGGAUGAACCCAUAUGGGAUUAGCUAGUAGGUGGGGUAAAGGCUCACCUAGGCGACGAUCUCUAGCUGGUCUGAGAGGAUGAUCAGCCACACUGGGACUGAGACACGGCCCAGACUCCUACGGGAGGCAGCAGUGGGGAAUAUUGCACAAUGGGCGCAAGCCUGAUGCAGCCAUGCCGCGUGUAUGAAGAAGGCCUUAGGGUUGUAAAGUACUUUCAGCGGGGAGGAA